rnacentral:rRNA from 1 species
UACAGAGGUGGCAAGCGUUGUUCGGAAUUACUGGGCGUAAAGGGCGCGUAGGCGGUCCGAUAAGUCCUGUGUGAAAUCCCUCGGCUCAACUGAGGAACUGCACGGGAGACUGUCGGGCUUGAGUUCGGGAGAGGGAAGCGGAAUUCCGGGUGUAGCGGUGAAAUGCGUAGAUAUCCGGAGGAACACCGGUGGCGAAGGCGGCAUCCUGGACCGACACUGACGCUGAGGAGCGAAAGCCAGGGGAGCAAACGGG